CUUGCUUCCAUGCAUGUUUUCCUCUUUAGGUUGUGGGAUUGAUUCUCAUCUAGGGUUUGCCUUUUUGAGUGAGGAGAGACUGGAGAUGCUUUGCUCAGACAUGCACACAUCAAGUCUGGGACUGAUGGUUCCCUUCUGCCAACUAAUGGUUGUUUUGGGAACAUCCAACUUCUCCUUACCCCCAGUUGUAUAAGUGGUCUUUAGUAUGGUAGGAAGGGUAUUGCUGGAACACCUUUUCAUCCCUGAAUCAGAAAUGUGUGCUAAGGUCUGUGAUUCCAGCAUUGCUCUUUUGAGAAGGUCUGUUUGGCUUGGAGUGAAUCUCCUGGAAGCAAAGAGGAGAACCACAUUGUACUCUUCUCUAUCUCCUUCUGCACCUGUGGCCUCAUGGCUUUAAAUUUCAAACCAAGCCAGCAAAGCACCACAGCCUCUGCAAACCUGGAUUCUUAAUAAUCCCCAGGUUGAUCACUUACCACAGAACUAAUUACAACUCUUCCAAGCCUCCUGUUUAUGUCUCCUCCCUCCUUUGCUUCCUUUUCAUUUCCUAUGUCCUAGGCCUUGAAAUGCUUGGUCUUGACAUGACAAUUGAUGGCUGCUGGCUGUACAAACACAAAGGCCUGGAGUAUAAGGAGAGCCAGAUGGAGCUGGAAUUGCACUGUGUAUUCUUCCUAAAUAAGCGAAAGAUUUAUAAAUUGAUGAAAUUUCUUUGCUCAUGCAGAUGUUUUGUGCCUCCUGUACUGAACUGGGCUCCAUGUGUCACGUUUGCUCUCACCAUGUGCUGCUGAGUUCACAGGACUUAAGAUGAUCAAUUUAUAACGUCUACAGAGUGCUAGGAUGAAAAGAUGUUCUGAAAAUGCCUCAGAUGAAAAGAAGCUGUAAAAAAAAACUAAUCUUUACCCUGAUAGACUGAUUACAAUCUAUUGUGCUGUGGAUUAGCGGGUGAGUAUUUAUUCUGCUUAUUUUUUUACUCCUAUGUACAGAUGCUCUGGACCACAAUGACCUCUUUGAAGUCAUUAUUGGCUCUCGCAUCCAUGAGUAGUAUGGAGGGCACAUUAAUAAACUGUAUAUAGAAAAAGACAAUGAAGUCCCCAAGAAGUCAUUAAGAGUCUAUUGUGUCAGUCUGACUGUGGCCCACAAAAGAUACUGAAUAUGUAAGCUAAAAAUAUCCUUCGGAAAUGCUGUUGACACAGUUAUUUUACAUUGGCAGCAACAUCUUCCCCCCACAUACACACGCUCCCCUUGCUAAUCCUGCUCAGAGCAAUCCAUGUUCUGGGAAUCAUCUGUUUUUUUUUUUUCUUGGGAUUCAGAGACCUCCAGAUAGCAGCACUCUGCUGGCACUUUGCAGCUUUGUUAGGGAAAAACAGGAGCGUAUCUUUUAUUCCUGCCCUAUAUCCUCCUAUGUAUGAAGUGCUGCACAAACACCCAACUGAUGACUGCAGUUAUGUCAAAGGGCUGUCAGCUGAAAAGAACAGAGCAUAAAAAUAUGGGAAGGGAGCAGGUAUCCACACUUCUUCUGUCCUUUUGGACCCAGCUGUGCCCCCACCACUCAGCCCCUCAGUUUCCUGUACCCAAGUCCACGAGGGACGCUCAGCCCAGCAGCAGAGGAUUUGACCUCAGAUUUUUCUGGUGACACCAGCACUGACACUCUGCCUCCUCCACGUUGGCAUGGAUGCUUAGAAGAGCUGCUCCCAAAGGAUGACAAAUGAAAUGGGACCAGCCUGUCUGUGAAGGGGAACACUUCCCUCUGCUAACAGCUUGACUGAGAUUCACCCAGUUUGCUUCCUAACCGUUGGAACUGCCCCCACCAGUGAGUAGGUGCAGAGAUCAGCUUCUUCUGGAAGAAAUGUAUCUAAAAUGAGCAGAAGUGCUCUCCUGUGUAUCACGGGGACGUUGUCAUCUCCCAGGCUGUGAUAUGUGGCUAAAAAAAGAACAGAGGGCUCCUAAAGUAGCCGAAAAGUGCAUGAUCUGUGAGUAGAGCCAGGAGACAACUGAGUCAUCUCAAGUGCUACAGAGGGCCAAAAGAGUGGUAUUGGAGUGAAUAUGAGUGCAGAGCAGGCUGUGAGCAACGGCCCCAUCUCCAUGAUUUCCAUAGUCAAGCAGAUAGUACAAGAGAUGUGUGCUUGUGCAUUUGUAUCAUUCAGACUCCAUGUUUUCAGAUUCUUUGAACGGAGAACAAGAAAAAUGAUGGAGGAAAAGGAUCAGUGAGAAAACACUUGGAAUCACACCAGCGAGAAAGCCCCUGCUUUGCUAACACUGUGGUGGUUGGCAGUGGGAAAUAACUAACCUCCUACCACAGUGAUAGCUGAUAGUUAUAGCAUGCUUAAAACAGUCAUGUAUUUUGUAUCCCACUCUCUUCCACAGAAGUCACGUUUGCCAGAAACUUAAAAAAAGAUUCAAGUAUGGUUCAUGUUUCAUUUUGCUCUGAGGUAAUUGCCAGUCAGCAGCCAUUUGUGGUCUAAGAUGACUGGAAGUUUUAAAGCAGAAUGUGGGCUUUUCCCACUUAUCUACUUACCAAAACCAACAUCUACUGGGGAAAAAAAAAUCAACACAAUAAACAACAGAACAAAACAGUAUCUCAGAGGAGUCUGGCACACAAAUGACACAGUUAAAAUGUUGCUCCACUAUUACAAUUGCUUCAGAAUGAUUACUAUCCUUCUAUUUCAUCCUCAGCUGAUUAGUCCCUAGGCUCAAUUGCUUUCAAAUGAAUAAAACACCAUCUAUUUGUGUUUUUCCUUCUGUGAGGGAAAAAAAAAAAAAAAAUCUACUUAUUGUGAUAAAGAGAUUGGUUUUAUCUGUGUGGACUUUUGUUCUAAGGAAUGCAAUAAUUUUGCUGGUACUGAAAUUCCGAUUUUGAGUGUUUUUAAUUAGACUAUUGUCUACUCUGUUGAUUUGAGAAAUGGUUUGCAUAACUGACCCAAACACCUCCGGAAGCUUAAACUGAAUUUUGGAAAGCAUUACUGAAUAUUUUUCCUGUCUUCCUCCUCGCUGGACAGAAAAAGCUGAAAAGCCCCAAGCACAGUCGGAUACGCAAACCCACAAGAAUACUAGCAGCUAUGCGUUUCCCAUCACCAGUUGUUCAGGAAAUGCUGUACUUCAAAGAUAUCAGGUCAUUGCCCUUUUUCAAUACAAGGCGUUGAGAUAUAGUUUUGAAAAAUUUUCAGUUGUCAUCCAAGAUGAAUCUUAUCACGUUUACCCAUUAUUUCGAAUCAGAUCUGAAACAUGACAGGCAUAAUUUGGAUUGAGAUAUUUGGCAUUUCCCAAACCCCUGCCAUAUGUCACUCAAAGCCAUUGAUGGGCACUUCAAAGAAAACCAGCAUGCAGUUUUGAGCAGUUCUUUGCAAGUUUCUUUGUAGCAAAAUUUCCUACUUGGAAGCCCUCUAGUUAAGCUUGCAUUUCUGAUAAAUUUCCAUGCAUUAUUAACCUAAUUGGACCCAACAUAUAUUCUAAGAUUCUCAUUAAUAUUUUUAACAUGUUAUGGCAUCUUUAUCCUUGAGCAGUCAACCAAGUUUUCAUCUUCAUAAAAAUGGGUUCCUCAUAAUCGGACAAUCCAAUCAUUUCCAGUCCAUAAGGUAAAUUUCCUCUAUAUUCUUUGAUUUUGCAGGAUUUUUUUUUUUAACCAAUCAGCAUAAUACAUUUCACCCUAUGGUUUAUUUCUCCGUAAACCUUGCCACAAUUGCUGGAAGCUUCUAACUGGAAAGGAUGCCAACUUGAGCUGGAGGACACAUCUAAGAGAUGACCUCAGGCCAACUGAAAGAAGGUAGAGCAUUUUAGGAGGACCGUUCCAUUUAUUCUUGCAAUUUAGACGCUUCACUGACUUCUGAUCAUCUUCAGAAUGGAUAAAAUGCCAAUGGACCGUACUGAAUGGUAAAUAAAUGGUACUACAGCCCACUGACUGUUAGUCGUUCGUUAAUAUAUCUGCAUAGGGAUAACACUGUGGAGACUAAAUCCUGAAUAAAACUGUCUGAGGUGAUACAAAAACGAACAUGAAAAGGAUGACCCUAAGCUAAAAAGAUUACUUGUGUUUGUUUGGCUCGAUGGCUGUAAUAGCAGCAGUAUUCAGCUGGAACAAUUAUUGGGUAGAAAAGAAGGGUUUUUUUUUGUAUAAGUUCAGAAUGCUUUCACUGUUAUUAUCUAAAAUUGAACUAUGUAUAUUAUUUUAAAUGGGUAAAUUUUUGUUUUGUAUCCAUGAAAUUGCUACCACAUUAACAAGAUUUUCCAGGCAUUAAUGGAUUGAUUUCUGUUAAAUUGUAACUAUAUUAAUUCAUCCCAAUUACCUCUAAGUAAAAUUUAAAUUAAGUUAAAUUGAAGAAAUUAAAAAUGUUUGAAAACCCUGCAUGGAAACCUUGAG
ensembl:lncRNA